GAUGAACGCUGGCGGCGUGCUUAACACAUGCAAGUCGAACGGUGAAGGCGGAGCUUGCUCUGCUGGAUCAGUGGCGAACGGGUGAGUAACACGUGAGCAAUCUGCCCCUGACUCUGGGAUAAGCGCUGGAAACGGCGUCUAAUACCGGAUACGAGCCGCGAAGACAUCUUCAGCAUCUGGAAGGAACUUCGGUCAGGGAUGAGCUCGCGGUCUAUCAGCUAGUUGGUGAGGUAACGGCUCACCAAGGCGUCGACGGGCAGCCGGCCUGGGAGGGUGACAGGCCACACUGGGACUGAGACACGGCCCAGACUCCUACGGGAGGCAGCAGUGGGGAAUAUUGCACAAAGGGCGCAAGCCUGAGGCAGCAACGCCGCGUGAGGGACGACGGCCUUCGGGUUGUAAACCUCUUUUAGCAGGGAAGAAGCGAAAGUGACGGUACCUGCAGAAAAAGCACCGGCUAACUACGUGCCAGCCGCCGCAGUAACAC
rnacentral:rRNA from 1 species